rnacentral:misc_RNA from 1 species
GAUGAAGAACGCAGCGGAAUGCGAUACUUGGUGUGAAUUGCAGAAUCCCGUGAACCAUCGAGUCUUUGAACGCAAGUUGCGCCCGAAGCCACUAGGCCGAGGGCACGCCUGCCUGGGCGUCACACGCCGUUGCCCCCCCAUCUACUCCUUCGGGAUUGCGGGGGGGCGGAUGAUGGCCUCCCGUGCGCCUAGCCGCGCGGUUGGCAUAAAUACCAAGUCCUCGGCGACGCACGCCACGACAAUCGGUGGUUGCGAAACCUCGGUUGCCCGUCGUGUGCGUUCGUCGCGCAUCGAGGGCUCGAAAAAAUGCUCGGCUCCGGCUGGGCUUUCAACGCGACCCCAGGUCAGGCGGGGUUACCCGCUGAAUUUAAGCAUAUCAAUAAGCGGAGGA